rnacentral:rRNA from 1 species
UGCAGUCGAGCGGAACGAGUUAACUGAACCUUCGGGGGACGUUAACGGCGUCGAGCGGCGGACGGGUGAGUAAUGCCUGGGAAAUUGCCCUGAUGUGGGGGAUAACCAUUGGAAACGAUGGCUAAUACCGCAUAAUACCUUCGGCUCAAAGAGGGGGACCUUCGGGCCUCUCGCGUCAGGAUAUGCCCAGGUGGGAUUAGCUAGUUGGUGAGGUAAGGGCUCACCAAGGCGACGAUCCCUAGCUGGUCUGAGAGGAUGAUCAGCCACACUGGAACUGAGACACGGUCCAGACUCCUACGGGAGGCAGCAGUGGGGAAUAUUGCACAAUGGGCGCAAGCCUGAUGCAGCCAUGCCGCGUGUAUGAAGAAGGCCUUCGGGUUGUAAAGUACUUUCAGCCGUGAGGAAGGUGGAUGCGUUAAUAGCGUAUUCAUUUGACGUUAGCUGCAGAAGAAGCACCGGCUAACUCCGUGCCAGCAGCCGCGGUAAUACGGAGGGUGCGAGCGUUAAUCGGAAUUACUGGGCGUAAAGCGCAUGCAGGUGGUUUGUUAAGUCAGAUGUGAAAGCCCGGGGCUCAACCUCGGAAUAGCAUUUGAAACUGGCAGACUAGAGUACUGUAGAGGGGGGUAGAAUUUCAGGUGUAGCGGUGAAAUGCGUAGAGAUCUGAAGGAAUACCGGUGGCGAAGGCGGCCCCCUGGACAGAUACUGACACUCAGAUGCGAAAGCGUGGGGAGCAAACAGGGA